UGGGGAAUAUUGGGCAAUGGGCGCAAGCCUGACCCAGCAACGCCGCGUGAAGGAAGAAGGCUUUCGGGUUGUAAACUUCUUUUCUGAGGGACGAUAGUGACGGUACCUCAGGAAUAAGCCACGGCUAACUACGUGCCAGCAGCCGCGGUAAUACGUAGGUGGCAAGCGUUAUCCGGAUUUACUGGGUGUAAAGGGCGUGUAGGCGGGACUGCAAGUCAGAUGUGAAAACCAUGGGCUCAACUCAUGGCCUGCAUUUGAAACUGUAGUUCUUGAGUGUUGGAGAGGCAGGCGGAAUUCCGUGUGUAGCGGUGAAAUGCGUAGAUAUACGGAGGAACACCAGUGGCGAAGGCGGCCUGCUGGACAAUAACUGACGCUGAGGCGCGAAAGCGUGGGGGAGCAAACAGGAUUAGAUACCC
rnacentral:rRNA from 1 species